AGCGAACGCUGGCGGCAGGCCUAACACAUGCAAGUCGAACGAACUCUUCGGAGUUAGUGGCGGACGGGUGAGUAACACGUGGGAACGUGCCUUUAGGUUCGGAAUAACUCAGGGAAACUUGUGCUAAUACCGAAUGUGCCCUUCGGGGGAAAGAUUUAUCGCCUUUAGAGCGGCUCGCGUCUGAUUAGCUAGUUGGUGAGGUAAUGGCCCACCAAGGCCACGAUCAGUAGCGGGUCUGAGAGGAUGACCAGCCACAUUGGGACUGAGACACGGCCCAAACUCCUACGGGAGGCAGCAGUGGGGAAUCUUGCGCAAUGGGCGAAAGCCUGACGCAGCCAUGCCGCGUGGAUGAUGAAGGUCUUAGGAUUGUAAAAUCCUUUCACCGGUGAAGAUAAUGACUGUAGCCGGAGAAGAAGCCCCGGCUAACUUCGUGCCAGCCGCCGCGGUAACAC
rnacentral:rRNA from 1 species